UACGGGGGGGGGCAAGCGUUGUUCGGAAUUACUGGGCGUAAAGGGCUCGUAGACGGCCAACUAAGUCGGACGUGAAAUCCCUCGGCUUAACCGGGGAACUGCGUCCGAUACUGGAUGGCUUGAGUAUGGGAGAGGGAUGCGGAAUUCCAGGUGUAGCGGUGAAAUGCGCAGAUAUCGGGAGGAACACCAGAGGCGAAGGCGGCAACCUGGACAAGCACUGACACUCAACUGCGAAAGCGUGGGGAGCAAACAGG
rnacentral:rRNA from 1 species